rnacentral:lncRNA from 1 species
GCUCUCUCCUCACUAAAGAUCCUAUUAUUCUUCUCAAUUCAAAUGGUCCAAUGAGUGGCUGAGAUGGAAGCACUCCAUAGAAGAUUUCUUGAAUUUUUCCUAGGAGUUCCAAGGCAUAAGGAGAAGAGGUGAGAGAUCAAUUGGGGAAUGAUCCACAACCACUUGAAUAGAAGAAGAAGGCCGGUUCAAAGGGCCAAGGCAACCUCACAAUUUAGAAAUAGAUGUUGAUUGGUUUCUUCAGCAUUGAGGCACAUGGUGCACCUGUUAGGAAAAUGUAUACCCCUUUUGCUGUAGUUGAUCGAG